rnacentral:rRNA from 1 species
AGGGAUCAUUACUGAGUACUACACUCUCUACCCUUUGUGAACUAUUAUACCUGUUGCUUCGGCGGCGCCCGCAAGGGUGCCCGCCGGUCUCAUCAGAAUCUCUGUUUUCGAACCCGACGAUACUUCUGAGUGUUCUUAGCGAACUGUCAAAACUUUUAACAACGGAUCUCUUGGCUCCAGCAUCGAUGAAGAACGCAGCGAAACGCGAUAUGUAAUGUGAAUUGCAGAAUUCAGUGAAUCAUCGAAUCUUUGAACGCACAUGGCGCCUUCCAGUAUCCUGGGAGGCAUGCCUGUCCGAGCGUCGUUUCAACCCUCGAGCCCCUGUGGCCCGGCGUUGGGGAUCUGCCACGGCAGGCCCCUAAAACCAGUGGCGGACCCGAAGGCCCUCUCCUUUGCGCAGUAGCAUCAGCCUCGCAUUGGGAUCCCUCGGCGUCCUGCCUCUAAACCCCCCACAAGUCCGCUCCGGCGGCACCAAGGUUGACCUCGGAUCAGGUAGGAAUACCCGCUG